ACCCCGGAUACCUGAGUUUUCCGGGGGUCUAACAUUUGGGGGCUCAUCCGGGAUUUGUGAACACCUCUCACCUGAGUGGAUUUGAUCUUGGAGGUAAGAUGAUUCGAGCUCGCAACUUUUAUGUUCAAUGUUAUAUAUUUGCUUGCUUUUGUUGCUUUGUUGCCAUAGCAAUUUGCUGUUUUGUUGAUCUGAGCCUGUGCGGGACUCGUGACUCGUAUUUGUAUUUGGACUUCAGGGGGAAAUAGACGUAUUUCGAGACCCUGAAGUCCUGCCCUGGACGAAAGUCCAAGGGUUAUUUGAAUUGAACCAUAGGGUAAGCAGACGUGCCCAGAAAUAGACGUAUUUCUGGAACCCUUGGUUUGGCCCUGGAUGAAAGUCCAAGGGUUGUUUGUAAUUUUGGUUUGGGGAACCAUUUCUUUGCCGUGUGGUUUGUCCUGUCUAAUGUCUGUUAAGCCUGGAGGAUUGGAAUGGGCUGGGUGACUGAACAGUUGAGCAACAGGUUUGUUAUCUGUUAUCUGAUCUGUUGCAGCCCACGCCCUAACUGACUGCUUGUGUGUCAUUUUACUAUUUCUGUUAAUUUUGUGGAUGUGGAGGUCCCAUGUUGGGGUUUCUGGCAACAUCUGAUCCACCACGCCACCCCCUUUCUAUCCCCACCUGCGGAUCUGUGAGGCAUGCCAAGUGGGGCUGUCUCUGCCCCAGCUGCCGUCCUGCCUGCCUCGGGAGUUUCCCUGCUCUGAGGGAACAUUGCUGCAAGGCCGCCAUCUGCCUGGCUGGCCAGCCUUCUCCGUGCUCCACACACAUGUUUAUAGUGUCAGACUGCCAGAUCUUGACAGUGACCCAAAGUCUCCAAAGAAGAUUAGAAGGCACCUCAGUUCCUGCACCUGGACCAGUGCGCGAGAUGCUCAGAUGUGAUACCUGCCACCUGCCAGGACCUGGCCAAGACUGUGGACAAA